rnacentral:lncRNA from 1 species
CAAAAUUUAAGGUAAUUACUUUCUUAAUACAUUUAUAGUUGGGAGAAGUUUAUAGGGUAUACUAGUUAGACUUGUAAAGAUAAACAACGCAUUCAAAUUUUCAAGUCAAAGUUCCGUUGGCUGGCUGAAAUCAUAUAAAUUGAAAGGUUUGAUAGCAAAAUUAAAAUUUUGAAAAGUUGGAGAGUCGACUCAAAAUAAUCCACAAUAAAGAUAAGUUCCAUUAGUUUUAAAUGUAAGUAUAUAUUUAAAUAGAUAAUUUCGUAGGGAUGUAUGUGUAAUAUAUGUUAAAAUAACGUGAAACGACCAUUAUUCUUCGAAAAUGUAGUAAGACUCAAACUCAUGACCUUCUACUCUGAUAUCGCUUUAAAUAAUGUGAAAUGAUUGUUACUCUCUGAAAACUUUAACUACGAGAGAAUGGUUCUUGUUUCUGUACGCUUAUAUUGGAAAAGAAAAAAAAAUGCCCCCUACAGUUUAAUAUUUUCUCACUUUACUAUUCUAUAGUUUUGUUUUUCUCUUUCUAUUACCAUCAUCAUUAACUUUUUCGUUAAACCAGUAGUGAAGUUAAAACUACAUAAUAUUAAAAUAAAAAAAUUGGUAAACCAUAGGGGAGUAUUUUGAAAUUUUUUCCACAUGCUUUAAUGGAGAAGUUAAUAGAGGAGCUGACAUAAAGGGAAGGAAAAGUUAACACAUAUAGUACUAAUGUGAUACAUUUUAAAAUACAUGUUACUAAAGUAAGAAACCGUUAAACCACAUGGGUUAUUUGAUGUUUUUCUUUUUACAUUCAACAUGUAAUAUUGUUGCAAAGAUAGUGAAGAUUUAGAAACUUGAGAGAGACUAAUUAUAUAAAACUUCAGUGGGGAGAUGAUCCACUCUCAUGUGUUAGUUCGCUUUCUAUUCAAUAGUUCAUUGAGUAUCUUUUAAUACUAAAAAUUUAUAAAAAAAAAAUUUAAAACCCUAGAGAGAAGGAUUAUAAUUCUUGGAUAGAGAUUAGGAUUAUAACCCUUGGAUAGAGAUAAAAGUGACACGUGGCGACAGAUUGGGGCUCGUUAACGAGACGUCAUUGGGGGAGCUUCCUGCUCAAGUUUUCCCUUUUAUAUUAAUUCAACAUGUAUAAGUAUGUCGCGGAGAUGGUGCAGAUUUAGAACGAGGGAGAGACUAAUGGAUAGAACUUCAGUGGGGAGCGUUCCAACAAUGCAUUGCUGGGGAGCCAUCGAUUCGCUCUCAUGUGUUAGUUCUAUCCCUAUCUAGUAAUUCGUUGGGUAUCUUAUAAUACUAAAUUCAUAAAAAAAAAUUUAAACCCUAGAGAGAAUGAUUGUAACUCUUGGAUAGAGAUAAAAGUGACACAUGGCGACGAAUUAGGGCUCUUUAACAAGAUGUUGUUUGGAAGCUCCCCACUGAAGUUUUUUUUCGAAACUAACCUUGUGGGUGGAUCUGAUGCUCCGCGGCCUCCGAUCGGACGGCCACGAUCAUCACGAAGAGCAGCAUCAGCAAGAUCCAAGUGAUAGGAUGAGGACUCUUCCCCUUCAUUUUGUCUCUCCUCUUUCUCUUAAUUUCUCACUUGCACUACAAUGAAGGAAAAAUGAGCAAAUGAAAACCUUCUACAUUGGAAACUAUUUAUAAGAAUACUUGGAAUCUUUAUAGGUAUCUCCAUGGGUUAAAUAUGCUACUACUUUUGCCAAAAUUUUUUUACUUUGGCCACCUUCUUUUUAGGUAAAUCGUACAAGGAACUUACCUGAAUGAUGAAUCAUUUUCAGUUAACUAUCCAGUUAUUUAAAAUUUUGAUUCUACUAUCCACUAUUUUAAUUUAUUUAAUCUGAAUCAGUCAACGGUAGUUUGACUUACAAAAUAUGAUUGCAUCGUUUAUCUUCACAUUUUAGUUAGUAUACUUCGUGCAAUUUUCGCGAUUAUAAAUUCAUUAAAGUAAUAAUUAGUUUAAAUUUUAAGCUCAAAGUAUCGUCAACUGACUCAAAUCAAAUAAAUUAAAAUAGAAAAAUUAAAAUUUUAAAAAAUUGAAUAGCCAAUUCAAAAUUGUCCAUAAGUUCGGUACGUUUUCACUUUUUCAAAAAAAAUAAAAUUUACACCUCCUGAGCUAUUAAUAAUAUGUCGAAUUGGUCCACUCCAUUAUUAGUGGUUAAGUUCACCAACAGAAUGAUAAUGUUUAAACAUUUAAUCAAUGCAUUUUUCUUGCAAGAAACUUGGCAUAAGUUCUUUUCCACAUGAAAAGAAUAUCGUACUAUAAAUUUAAGCUAUAUUUUGAAAUGUUCAACUAGAUGUUUUUAUUACACGGUACGUUUCAGCUCGUGAGCCUCUCGCACUUUUUCAUAUUAUCCGAUGUGGUAUUAUUACAGUGUCACAUAUAUAUACUUCUUUCACAUUAUCCGAUAUGACCCUACUAGCUAGGGUGUCACAUAUAUAUGCUCCUUUCGUUUUAGAUCUUGACAUUCUCGUGAAUCCAAUCGCACAACCAUCGAAUGAUGUGAGACUUACCACACCUUUUUGGUUGGUGAAGCACCCCGAUACUAACCGUAGUGAAUGAGCCCACUAACAUCAAUAACUUAUUGGGCCCAAACUACUAAUAAAAAAUACUUAAAUCCAAGUUACUAGUUCUAGCAAAUCCAUCACAUAUAAAUCCCUCAUAUUUUUUCACAUUAUUCCAUGUUGGACUAUUUUGGAGUAUCACAAAAUGGGCCAAUAGUCUUGUUUUUUUUAUCAUAAAAAUCUUACGUGAUAGAACUUAAAAGCUUUUGUGGAGUCUUAUAAUUCUUUAAAAUGUGGGAUUAUACAUCUCAUUUUUAGUUUUCUACUCUCUCUCUCUCUCUCUCUCUCUCUCUCUCUCUCUCUCUCUCUAAACCCAUGCAUGUGACUUUUGAAGAGAGGAUUCUGGCUAAACUUCCAAAACCUCAUGGUUUUUUGGAUAUCUAUGAAUUAAUGUUUUCCGGGAAGGGCAUAUAUAACUGGGAGAUGAGGUCAAAGAAUAUGUAUCAUAAGAAUAGGCCAAAGAAUAUUAUAUCUAGCAGUGCUCAUCAAAGAAUUGGAAUUUAUGCAAAUUAGUCCAUGAAGACCCCCAAAUUAGGAUGUGAUACCUAAGAUCUCAUAGCUCAGUGGUCCAUUUUAUAAAACAAUAGGAGAAAAUUAACUAUAUUAGGAGUUUGGAAUGACGCGAACUUAGAACCUUCUGCUCUAAUACCAUAAUAAAUUAUAUGAAACAACUGUUGUUCUCUAAUAAUUUAAGCUGAUACAGAAUGAUGUUUUUAUAUUUAAGUCUCCCCCUCACGUCUGAGCUCAAAACUGUUUUAUAAACCCAUGAUGUAGACUUGAAUUGUAAGGACUGAGAUUUUUGACAGUGCGACUAAACUCUCUGUUGAUGAUGUUUAUGUGUGUAAUUUAAUUACAUAGGCACUCGUCAAGUUUCAGGAGAAACUGAGCUAAAAUGGAGAAGAUACGCGAUUUUCAGUUUUCACUUAAGUGAAUAGUAACUCCGGUUUUCCGGGGAAGNACUCUCUGUUGAUGAUGUUUAUGUGUGUAAUUUAAUUACAUAAGCACUCGUCAAGUUUCAGGAGAAACUGAGCUAAAAUGGAGAAGAUACGCGAUUUUCAGUUUUCACUUAAGUGAAUAGUAACUCCGGUUUUCCGGGGAAGCCACGGAGUAGAGUCGGCUUCUGGUGUGUAUCGGACUCCGUUCAUAUCAGUCCAAUAGCUCGUUUCGACCGGUUCAGCUGUUCUGGAACUUGUGGCGCUGAUGGAUUUUGAGUUUGAGGCACGGAUUUCGAGAAAAUCCAAAAAUACAUGUUUUAUAUGUAUUUGUGCGUGAGUGUUUCCUUCUAUUGGAAGAAGGUUGGAUUUUGUCGUGAAUCCGUGGUCGAUCGAGAUGAAUCGAAGGUGUAGCUUUGUUGUCUCCGAGGUGCUGAUCGCACUGGUGCAAUCCGUUCGCAAAUCUGACGGACGGAUCUGCGGAGAUCGCGCGUUGAUCGAGGAGAGGUCGGUGUUGGCAAAACGGUAAUUUCGCAAAAGUCGCGACAUUUUAUGUACCGUUACGCGUGAAAUCGCACGUGGAGGGGUAUUCGCGCGUUUUACUUGUGCUGUGAGGGACUAGGAUCAAAUUGUUGAGUCUUGGUGGACUUUUUCGCAAGUUUCUCCUUGGUAUAGAUUCAUUCUAGGGUUUUCUUGGAACCCUAACCCGUCUAGCCACUUCCAGCUAACCCUAGCCGCCCCCUUGCUUUCCUUGCCCUAGCCGCUCGCCUUCCGGUCGCUGCCGACCAAGUCCGGCCGGCCGCCGCCGCUGCAGCACCACAUUCCUCCCUCUCCAUCUCUCUCCAUCUUCUUUUUCUUCCGGGUUGGAGCUCGGGCCGAGGUUAUGUUGUCUCUUGGCACCUUGUCGACGUAGCCCCGACCCCUCGGCGUCCCUCUCCGCCGAUCGCCGCCGCCCUGAGCCGCCCGGAGCGCCGCCGCUGCCGCUCCAGCCGCUGCUGCAUCCUGCAGCUUCCCAGCCCGAGCCCAGGCCGGGUCUAACCCGCGGCCUCCCCGCGCGCAGCCACCGCAUGAGCCUGCUCCCGCCGCCGUCCUCGGAGUCUCGGCGGCCCUCCCCGCAGGUCGCCGGCGCCCCUGCGGGCCGCCACCGCCGCCUCGGCCGGCAGCAGUCGCCCCAGCCCGAGCUGAGGUCUCUGUGCGCCCUCUCCUCCGCGCCGCAGCCACCUGGGGUAGCUUCCGCGGCCGUCUCCUGUGUUCCCCCCGACCUUCCCGGCCGGUCGCCGCCGCCCUUCGGGCCGUCGCCGCCGCCCUGAACCCUGGGCGCCGCCGCCCAGGUCUGCAACCGAGCCUAGCUCGAGUGGCAGCGCUCGAGUCGUGGGCUGCCGCUGCUGCCGCCCGCCGCCUCCCUUCUCCUCCUCCGGCAUCUGGGGACCCGCCGCUGUCGUCCCCGACCUGUCCCGGCCAUCGCCGUCGCUGGGAGGAGCCGCUGGACCGUGCCCUAGCUUGUGCGGGCUCCGCUCGUUCCGCCGUCGCCGCCGCCACUCUCCGCCGCCAACCGAGGUGAGCAUCGUAUUCCUCACCUCCCCCGCACCCAUCUCUGGCCUGCGCGAACCUCGGCGUGCCGCCGGAAGCCGGCCGGAGCAAGCUUGCUCCGGCCAAGCCCAAAAUAGGGCUGUUUGUGGGUUGUUUGUUGUUCUGAGCGACCCGAGCCUCCCCGAUCCCUACGGAAGGGAGCACGGUGAUCGUGGCAAAUUGCCGAUCAUCGUGCUCACCUUAGAUUCUGUUGGGGAGACUCCGUUCUGCUGUUUUCGUUGUGUCGACCCCGUGGAGCCUGUUUGGCUGCUGUUUUGGGUUUGCGCGCGCUUAUCCGGCGAUCCGAGGCUGUCCUGAUGCCUCCGGAGGUGAGCACGGUGAUCGUUGGUCUGUGCCGAUCACAUCGCUCACCUCACUUUGGAUCAACAGUGUCGGGUCAGCCCUGUUUGGCGCGAUCUUCCCUGACUGCGCGCUGUUUGCAGAACUUCGGGUUGCUCCCGCACUUCCCACAGUGACCUGUUGCGCUCCAGACCGUGAGCACGGCCUCCGGCACGUCGAGACCUGUCAGUACGUGUCUCGGCGGAACUUCGAGGUCAUCAGUUUGUGAGAACGAGUCAUAGGAGCCGCCCGAUUUACAUAAAAUGAUGGAUUUUAUAUAAACAUAGGGGCUUUUGUGCAAUUGUACUCCUUGUGGCUACUGUGGGCAGCGUGUAAGAGUGUGUUUGACCUCUGGACUGAUUGUCCAUGAUCCUGUAGCUUUCGUGGAAAUCGAAAGAUCGAUUUCGGUGCGUUUUUCGGCAAAAUUCGUCGAAAGAACGCGAUUUCGGUUCGGAUUCUUCUCGACGGUGUUUGUUUGCUCUGUGUUUUGUCGCUGAGCCUUGUUGGCUGGUCACCAUCAUUAUUUUGUAGGUUCGAGGAUGAUAGGUGAGCGACGGAGGGUUCCGGUGUCGAAAUAGACACUUUCGGGAACCCGGAUUUGUACAAUUAUCCGGCGAUAAUUGUGUAGGGGUGUUACCUUGUGUUUGCUGCCAAAACACCCAAAUUGGAGUGUUUUUGGGCAGCAGGUGACUUGUGACACGAGUCGGUGAGUUUCGGGACACUUAGUGGGUCCCGACGGCGUCACGGUGUGGUUUUCGGGACUUCCGGCGAGUUACGGUAAUCGGUAUUGGGAAACCUAUCUUCGUGGGAUUGUUUGUGGUUAUGCUUUUAGGGUUUCUUAGUUGUGGGUUAGACACUAACCCAGUUGACCCUCCUUAGGUCCAGUUGACGUUCUUUUGCAGUCAGGAGACAGACGCGACAGUCGUGCAGGUGGGUACUUCGAUCCGAAGUCGGUACAGUGGUGCACGCUCGGUGAUAUCUCUUCUAUCCCUGUUCUUCUAUUGCUAUUUUCGUAUUAUAUAUUGAGCUUGCAUCCCCGUUGUUUCUAUCAUACUCUACUCAUAUGUUCUAUGCUUAGUAUCAUGUGUAGGAGUAGAGUAGUUUAUCCCUAUGUGAUACUGGUAAUCUGAUUGGUCGGUUCUCGUACUUCGUUCGGUGACUUGAUUGGUCGGUUCUCGUACUUCGUUUCGGUGACCUAGUUGAUCGGUGCUUUUAUCUUAUAUCUGUUGACCUGGUUGGUCGUGUUGCACUAUGUAUUGGGUUGGUCUAUUUCUUGACUUCUGUCGUUCGAUGACUUUGAGGUCGGUGGUACCCUGAGGUAGGAUUGUCGGCUGGUGCUGACGGUAGUUCUGGACUAUAUCGAAUACACUCCUGUGACAUAUCGGUCGGUUCUUACGUUCGUACUUUUAGUUGACAUCGAGCAGUAUCUAUAUACUAUCUUUAUUUACCUGCCUAGUUGUUCUAUGUGUAGUAUCCUGUAUAGGGUAGAGUAGAUGGCAUUCGUAUAUCACAUACUUGUGACCUGGUUGGUCGGUUCUCCUUUUUGCAUCGGUGACCUGUUUGGUCGUUUCGUUACUUUCCGUACAUUGACCUAUCUCGGUCGUUCACGUUGUUGCUUGAUGACCUACACGGUCGGUAUGCCCAGAGGGGAGUGAUUGUCGGCUGAUUGCCGACGGUUGGCUAUUGAUCAUAUCCGCAUUGAUCGCCACAGCUCGAGUGCUUUCACGUACACCAGCGGUGAUCCCCCGCGAGGGUGUUUUCUUUCCGGAAAAGUGGUCGUACAUCCGACCCGUGAGCCCAGCGGUGUUCUCUUUGUGCUAGGUGUACAUGCCAGGUGUGAGCAGAUAGUGGCUUUUGCCUGAGCGUCCUUAGACCGACACGAGGUUAGAUUGGGUACUUUUGGACUUCUUGUCCGGUUGACGGCAUAUAGCUAUAGUAGCGGUUGUUGCAUAUGUACUUCUAGUUCUUUCUUUACAGUUGUCUUGCUACUAUAGUAUUGAUAUCCUUUGUAUGCUUGCAGUUGUACAUUAUAGUACGGUAGUUGUGUUUUUAUAUAUAUAUAAUCAUUCGUUCAUAUCGUUGCUACAGUAUAUUUUACUUACCGCAUACUGUUGGUUAUCUCUCCUGAUCCCGGUGAUACUCCUCGCCUUCUUCGGCUUGUGGUACCCACUAGGAGGGGAGACAUGUUUACAUGUUCUCACCUCCCCCACAAUUUUCAGGUAUCGUGGGCGAUGAGUAGUGGGACGAGACGUGAGGUACGCGUGUAGCGGUCGAUAGAGCUUUCGACCCGGGUUAAUUCGGUUUACUUUCUUACCCUUCUUAUUUUGGCUGAUGAAUAGUUUAGUUGAUUUAUGUGGUUCAGUGUUUAUUUACAUUUGAAAAUGUGGAUUUCUGGAUUUUGUAAAAUAAAAGGUUUUCUACCCCUCGUGGUAGCGUUUUUUUUAACGAAUAAAGGUUUCCGUAUAGGGAACAGUUUUCAAAAGAAUUUUCGUGAAUUUCUAUUUAAACACUGAAUGUAAAACUGUGAUGUGAAUGGUGAAUGUAUGAAUGUAUAGUUAUCUUUAUAUUCAUUUGGUUGUGGUUGUUUCCUGGCUAUACUCUUGUACUUGUGCGACGCCGUGCAAAUACAGGGGAGACUCUAUCCGUGUGAACAGUGGAUUCCCUGUAUUUGUGGCGGAUCUGGCAUACCCAGGGGUCAGGUUUGCAAAAAAAAAAAAAAAUUUUUUCCGCUGUGUUUUUAACCUAAAGGGACCCCGGGGCGUGACAUGAAUUAAAUAGAAAAAAAUCAAUUUUGCUAAUACGUGACUCAAACCCAUAAUCUCCUACUUUGAUACCACGUUAAAUUUUAUAAAAUAACUAUUAUUCUUUAAAAGAUUAAGCUGGUAGAGAAUGGUCGUACUUUUAUAUUCUUAUAUUUAAGAAUCUACAAUACGCUUUGAGCAUAUCUCCUCAUCACCAUGUGUUUACGACAAAAAUUGAAAAGAUCUAAUGUAUCGAAUGAGAAAAUACUGAAAAAAAUAAAAAAGAAAGAUGGACAAAUAAAGCAUACAAGUAAUUUACGUGGUUUAGCCAAAAGCCUACGUCUAUGAAUGAAAAAUAGGGUGAAGACUAUAUAAUAGAGUCAAAGCAGAGUACAAAAAAUGUCUUUCAUAAAAAAUUCUAGUCCCAAAAUAUAUCUCAUAUUCUCUCUCUCAUUCGCCACAGCAAUUCAUAGAAUACAGGAUAUAUUUACAUUAGUUGCUAAAUUCUAGUAAGACAAAGAAUAAAAUCAAAUAAGAAUAUAUUCUUACUUAACUAAAUCAAUCAACAAACUUAGAAUAAUGGGUUAUAAAAACUUGUGGCCUAAGAAUUUAAGACCUAGACCAUGUAGCAUCAAAUUAAGAUGGUAAAAAUAACUAACUAGAAGAGAAUUUAUUUUAUUGUAUUGGCUAAAGUAUAAAAAAAUUUCGUAUAAAUAUCCACUCUUUUUAUUUUUUUUCUUUGACUUUCAAAAAUCUAUAUUUUUCUACUCAAAAUUUCAGAAAUAUUUUUAGAAAGUUAUUAUAAUAUUAAGGGAAAGAGCAAAAUGAUGAGAAUGCCCUUAACUGUUUGGGAGUAAAAAAAACAUUUAACAUAUAUAUUUCUGCUAUUUUCAGGGGCACAUUCUAUAUAUUAAUUAUAAAAUAUUAGAAAUAGAUGGAACAGGGAUGUAACCUUAAUAAAGGAAAGUUGAAUGUAUCAAAUUGAAAUCUUGAGAAAACAAAAUAUAGAUUUUGAAAGUCAAAGAGGAAAAAUAAAAAGGGAGAUAUUUACAUGAAAGUUUUCUGUAUUUUAACCUAAGUUAUUUUAUUUUAUUUUUUGAUAACUAGUUCCAUAGGCAUGCACAAUCUCUUCUAAACCAUAUAUUAAUUGAAAAAUUAAUGUACAUCUUCUAAGUAUGUAUGCAGAGAAAAGGUAGAAAACUAAGGAUCUGUUUGGUUCCUUGAAAAAUACGUCAGAGAACCUUUUUCAGGCUAAAAAAAAAAAUCGUGUGUUUGAUUUGCAGAAAAAAUAAAUUCACGCACACAGAAGAAUCAUCUCUAUCUCCUAUUCAUCAUCUUCAACAUCUCAGUCACUUUUAUCAAAUUAUAUUAUAUAUGCCAAAAUAUAAUUAAAAUUUAUUUUUAUUUUAUUAUUUAUUAUUUAUAUUGUAAAAAGUUUGUGAGUAUUAUAUUGAUACAUUUUAAAAGGUUCGUAUAUAAUCUCACCCUCUUUUUGUAGAAAAUAAUUAUAUACCAAAAUUUUCAACUAAUCAAACAAGUAAAAUAGAAAUGAAAAACUUUUUUUUCUUACCAACGAAAAAUGCAUACAUGAAAAAUUAUUUUUCUUUUCCAUCGAACCAAAUAACAGAAACUAGAAAAUUUCUUUUCCAGAAAAGACUUUUUUCUUCAUAAAAUAGUUUUCUAUUAUUUUCCAAAAAGCCAAACAGGCCCAAAGCAAAUGGAUAAAUAUCAAUCGCUAACUAGACAUCACGGAUACAGACACGGUCACAGGACACGAUACGACUCAAACGCAGCAACUGAGAAGCUUUCGAAAAAUUAGAAUACGGGCAUGACAUAAAAUAUUAUUAAUAUAAUAGAUAUAAUAAAUAUAUUUUAUUAUAUAUAAAAGUAUUAUUUUUGCUAAAAUGUUAUUAUAUUUCUCAGAAGAAUAAAAAUUAAUAAAAUUGAACUUAUUGAUAGUUCAUAUAUUUUAAGAAAAAAAAUUCUCCACAUAUAUAAUUUAUUUAUAUUAUCCAAAAAAAUUUAUAUGUAUUAUAUCAUCUUAAAUUAUAUAUGCAUAAAUAAUAAUAAAAAAAAAGAACAUUGAACAUAGUAUCCAAUCCUAGAUAUUUAGUUAUGCUCCUCGACUACCAAGCGUACAAGUUUUCUGAAUAAAUUAAAAAAAUAUACGGAAUAAAAUAUUCAUAAAUUCAAGCGUGAUCAAAAAAAAAAAAAAAAAAAAAAAAAAAAAUGAAACACUAAUUUUUAUUUAGAAAAAACUUCAGAUAUUGUUCCUGUGGUUUAUAGCUUUUCAGUUUAGUAUCAUGUCAUGUCAUGUGGUUUUAACUAUAUUACUUAAGUAUUCUAUAUAUGAUUCGGUAAUUAUCUUCCCAAUUAAAACUUCAAACAGCCGCAAUCAUUUUUUCACUUUACUAUUCUCUAGAUCAUAAAAUAUAUUGUUUACAAAUUUUAACACUUUAAUAUCCUACCUAACGGCGAGUUCACAUGGUGAAAGAACAAUAAAAUGAAUCAUAUGGUAGUAAAGUGAAACGUUUCAAACCACACAGUGCUGCACCACGAGGGGCUUUGUAACGACCCAAUCCACUAGCAAUAAUAAUUUGUUGGGCCAAACCACAGGCCCAAAAUGUUUAAGCCCAGUUAUUAUUACUAGCGUGUAGGUCUCAUAUAAACCGAUCGGAAUCAGCCCUGUUUAGACCCUGACGUCCUCGUCGGGUUCAAACCAGAUCACAGACAAACAAAUCAGGACCAUUACUAGGUGAUGUGAGAUUCUAGAGGUGGCUCCUACGGGUUCAAGAGGUGGCUCCCACCAAACCCGUUGGUGUAGCACUUUGUCCCGCAUAGCACUUAGUUCUCACACUUUCGGCUGAUAUUCGGUUCUGAUACCAAUUGUAACGACCCAACCCACUAGCAAUAAUAACUCAUUGGGCCAAACCACAGGCCCAAAAUGCUUAAGCCCAGUUAUUAUAACUAGCGUGUAGGUCUCAUAUAAACUGAUCGGAAUCAGUAUCCCAUCCGAUGUGAGACUAUUGGGUGCGUUACAGGCUUAGUUGUAAUUAUUAGAUUUUCAAGCUUAAUGGCAACUUUGAUCAUAAACAUCAUUAAAAAGAAGGCAAAUACGUUUUAAACAUGCUUCAAGUUGACAAAUUACAAAAAAUUUGUAGAAAAAUAUUACAUGCAUUAUUUCAAAUAAUGUCAUAAUUUAUUGGUUGAGUGAUUGGCUGUCAUAUAUUGGUUUUGUCACUCCCCUCUAUGAUCAAUUUUAAAAAAAAAAAUUUAUGGGUUUUAAUAUAUAAAAAGACUAAGAAACUUUUGGAUAUAGUCAAACUUACACGUGUCCACGGAUCGGAGGCUCUCUAAAGAAGCAUCAUUGGAGAGCUUUCCAUUGAAGUUCUAUGACUCUAUCCAAGCUUUAAGCGUAAAACUCGAUAUGCGCAUCCUAAACGGAGGGCUCUACGAUAAGGAUGUCAAUUGGUACAGAUAUCCGAGAAUUUAUCCGAAUCCGAAUUUUAAACAUAGCGGGUUUAACCGAUGCUGAACUAGUAUGAUUUUUCUUACACAGUUUACAAAAAAUCAAAGCUCGACAGACUCAGGUUCAAGUACGGAAAACCAUACCCGACCCGGACCCGAACCCAAAAUCAAAUUCGAACAAAAUCCGAACCGCUUUUACAUUAAAUUAUAUAUUUUAAAAUUUGGUAAAGUGAAAUGAUUGCUUUCUAAUUCGGAUUUUCGGGUUCGAUUUCGAGCUUGUAUUUUCUUGCCAAGUUCGGUUUUGAUUAUGAAUUUUCAGAAUCCGACAACUUCAAAUUCAAAUUCGAAUUUCAACGCCGGUAAUCGAGUUAAACACGUUCAUGUUCUUAAAAACCCAUCCCAAAUCCAACCCGUUGACAUACCUAUCACAGUACUAUACUAGUUAAUAUGUAGUACCCCUAUUGCACCUAUAUCCUAAUAUUUUCACCAAAUAGUAAAAGAUUAUUAACUCCAAUUGAGUUAAGGGCGUGUUUGGUAAAACCGAACUACACUCGACCGAAGCCACGAGUUCCGUCCGUAGGCGGAGCUCGACUUCGCUCUCGUCGCAGGCAAAGUCGCCAGUUUGCAACGUACGUGAACUCGCAACUCUGUGAGACGGCGUAGGCCCCACGGAAGUCGAGUUUUGCGAUUCUGUCCAAAUGUCGGCAAACUUUGGUUACGGGAACUCAGACACUUCAACCCCGAGUUCGAUCAAAACAGACACGCCCGUAAUCGUCGAAUGUGACUCCAAAUCUAGAGCAACUGAGUUUUCGUGCCGAAUCAGCUCGAAAUCGCGAAACCCGACCGAGUCGAGGAAACUGAGUCCAAGUUUCGAGUCGACUUGCCGAGUUUUAGUACACUUUUUAAGACCCUAGAGUAUCAAUCUCACCAUUCAGAGUGUCAAAGAAAACAAAAAAUGAUGCAUAAGGAUUCAACUCAACUUAACUACCAUAAGUAAAAGGUUCAAAUGUAUAGACACACCCUAAACUUUAACCGGUUUUGAAAUGAACCCCGUGAACUUCUUUUUAUUCGACUUACACCCCCCACCCCCUACUUACUAACCGUUUGAUUUAGCUCCUUCCACAAGUAAUUUUGAAAAUUUUAAAAACUUUUCAGAAUCAAACGGCCACGAGAGAUGCAUUUGACCUUCUUUUUGAGUAAAAUAAUUGUCAAUCAUGUGCAUCACUUAAUAAUGGAAGUAUCUAAAUCAAACGACCAGGAAGUAGAGGGGGGUGUAAAUCAAAUAAAAGAAAGUUCAGGGGUCAAUUUCAAAACAGGUUAAAGUUUAGGGGAUGUUGUGACAACCCUAUAGGUCCCACAUCUGAUGGAAAUAAAAUUGUCAUUGGAUAUAUAAGAAAACUCCACCCUAAUAAUAAUAGCUAAAUGCAAGCAUUUUGGGCAAGCAGUUUGGACCCAACGAGUUAUUAUUCCUAGUGGACCAGAUCGUCACUGGUCUCUUUUUGUGCUACAAGUAAUACAGAGACCUGAACACAAGCAUAUAUACAAUAUCUACAAUAUCAGAUGUCUCGCAAAUUCACCGACGACGAAAUUGAGAUUUCUCGGAACAUAUUUGAUCUCCGUACGCGACUCGAUCGAUCAGUAGAGCCUAAUCUUUGCGGUUAUAUUGCUUUGGCAUAUCGGGCAGCGCUGCAAAUCUCUUCCGCACUCGUAGCAGGUCUGAAGCCGAAGAGAAAAAGUAUUUAUCAGGCAUAUAAUCUGAUGAUGAUCAAAAUAGUACAGAAAGAAAGAAAGAAAAAGAAUUUAAACACAUUUCGCGCGCGCACCUGAUGUCCGCAGCCGAACGCGAAAUCCUUCGAUUUCCACAAGCAAAUGGGGCACAACUGCAUGUAGAAAAUACACGUAAAACUUUAAGAACUUGUAAGCAUUUCGUUGGACUAGUCGAGGUAAGGACAGCCUAAGCAGAUCUGAAAUAACCAAAUAACCGGACUCAAAAUAGAAAAAAUACAAAACCUUCAAAAAUAACCUAAAAAAUGCAACAAAUGAAGAUCUAAAUAGUUGAAUUCGGAUCCCAAACUAGGCCGAAACAGCUUUGCGGUUCGACGCAUAGAUCUUGAGAAGUGUUUUUCGAGGCAUUGCACACUGGAAACAGACAUCCAAACAAAAAGUUAUGAUCGUUUAAAGAUUUUCCGCACCAAUUGUAAAAUUUGCCAAACUGAACGAGAUUUUUGGCCUUGCUUGGUGGAGUCAUGCUUUUUCAGGAACUCUAAUGCUAAAUUGGACGCAUCACGAAGGCUAAUGCAUCACAUUUUGGUGAUCAAAAUUAUUGUAAAGGUAAUUGUUGCAGAUCGAGCUGCCUUAAUUCUGUUACGAAAAGCAAUGAAACUAGAUCUUGAUGCUCCGAUCGGGUAACACGAUAGAUUUUGGUAAGGGCAAAAUAGUCAUUAUAGUAGAGUGGGAAAACUUCAAAUUGCCCUCCUAUGAUUUAGCAUAUUUUCAUUUCGGUACUCUGUAGUUUGAAGUGUUUCACUCGCUACCCUAUGGUUUUACUUUUGUCUCACCCUUAAAGACCUGCCAUUAAGCAACAUACUAAGUCGAUAUAUUUUACAAACCACAGGUCGGCUAUAUGAAAAUAUAGAUAAGCAAAAUGCUACAAUUCGUCGCCCUGUGGCUUGUAAAAUAUAUUAAUUUACUUCUCUGGUUUAUAAAUUUUAUCUCUUAAGUACCCUACUUACCGGCAGAUCUUAAUGGCGAGAUAAAAUUAAAAC